rnacentral:rRNA from 1 species
GAGUGAACGCUGCCGGUAGGCCUACCACAUCCAAUUCGACCGACAGCCCAGUACGUUGUUGCUCUUACGGGUGGCGAGUGCCGGACGGUUGCGGAUUACUUCGCAAUCUACUUUUUCGUGGUGGAUACCGUAAGGCAGCUUACACUACUACUGCAUUCUACCUCCGCGUGAAAGCAUGGGAUCUUCCGACCUUGCUCUAUCUAAUGAGCCGAUGUCGGAUUAGCUAGUUGGCGGGGUAAAGGCCCACCAAGGCGACGAUGCGUAGCUGGUCUGAGAGGAUGAUCAGCCACACUGGAACUGAGACACGGUCCAGACUCCUACGGGAGGCAGCAGUGGGGAAUAUUGGACAAUGGGCGAAAGCCUGAUCCAGCAAUACCGCGUGGGUGAAGAAGGCCUUCGGGUUGUAAAGCCCUGUUGUUGGGAAAGAAAAGAAGCAGGUGAAUCCACCGAUGUUCUGACGGUACCCAAAGAAUAAGCACCGGCUAACUUCGUG